UUCUCUCCUUAAAAUUCUGAAAGAACUAUUAUGAAUGUUUCUUAUUCAGGAUUUUCAAAAUAACAUGACAAAUAAGUGGUGAAAGAAUUUGAGUAUUAUGAUAUUUGUGGUGUUAGUUCUUCAGCAUCUGCAGAGGAAGAGAUAAAAAGGGCCUAUUGUUUCAAGAAAUUAGGUGUAUCUAAUCCCAAAAGACGGAGGAGUAGUUAGGUAUUGGACCUUCAAGGUUAUUGUUCCUUAAAAUGUUGAGGAAACGGAGAGUUCCUUGCUGAAACUUUCGCAAGGGGUAUAUCUGUUGUGCUUUUUUUUUUGUUGUUGUUUAAGCUUGUAAUGUUCUUCGUAAGAAGGGGAAAGAACAAUUCAAGUUCAACGAUAUAUAGUCCGUUGAUCAAGAAAGUCGAGGACUUGAUUGUGGAGAAGUUUACAGAGCGAUUUACCGGAAAGUUAUGGAAAGAUUACACAAUCCCAAUUGAUGCUGCAGAGAUCACCGAGGAAGAUACCAAUGCUUUGAACAAGAAAAUGCGCCAAGUUAAAAUUAUAAAUUCAAAUUAUAGGUCAAAUUAGACAUCGAAAUUUGCUUCCAUUACUAGCACAUAUGCCAAGGCCAGAUUGCCAUUACUUGGUCUAUGAAUAUAAAAAUGAGAGUUCACGUGAUAUCCUCCAGCAAGUCA